rnacentral:rRNA from 1 species
UAGGGAAUAUUGGACAAUGGGUGAGAGCCUGAUCCAGCCAUGCCGCGUGCAGGAAGAAGGCGUUAUGCGUUGUAAACUGCUUUUGCCAGGGGAUAAAAAGACUCUGCGGAGUUUAUUGAAGGUACCUGGUGAAUAAGCCACGGCUAACUACGUGCCAGCAGCCGCGGUAAUACGUAGGUGGCAAGCGUUGUCCGGAUUUAUUGGGUUUAAAGGGUGCGUAGGCGGCCCUGUAAGUCAGUGCUGAAAUAUCCCGGCUUAACCGGGAGGGUGGCAUUGAUACUGCAGGGCUUGAGUACAGAUGAAGUAGGCGGAAUUGACGGUGUAGCGGUGAAAUGCAUAGAUAUCGUCAAGAACACCGAUAGCGAAGGCAGCUUACUAAGCUGUAACUGACGCUGAGGCACGAAAGCAUGGGGAGCAAACAGGAUUAGAUACCCUUGUAGUCCCUGAGCGGGCUGGCAAGGCGCAU